CCUACGGUGGACAGCAGUGAGGAAUAUUGGUCAAUGGGCGCGAGCCUGAACCAGCCACGUAGCGUGAAGGAUGACUGCCCUCCGGUUUGUAAACUUCUUUUAUAAAGGAGUAAAGUGAGGCACGUGUGCCUUUUUGUAUUUACUUUAUGAAUAAGGAUCGGCUAACUCCGUGCCAGCAGCCGCGGUAAUACGGAGGAUCCGAGCGUUAUCCGGAUUUAUUGGGUUUAAAGGGAGCGUAGAUGGGUGGUUAAGUCAGUUGUGAAAGUUUGCGGCUCAACCGUAAAAUUGCAAUUGCUAAUGGCAGUCUUGAGUGCAGUUGAGGUAGGCGGAAUUCGUGGUGUAGCGGUGAAAUGCUUAGAUAUCACGAAGAACUCCGAUUGCGAAGGCAGCUUACUAAACUGCCACUGACAUUGAUGCUCGAAAGUGUGGGUAUCAAACAGGAUUAGAUACCCGAGUAGUC
rnacentral:rRNA from 1 species